GAUGAACGCUGGCGGCGUGCCUAAUACAUGCAAGUCGAGCGAACGGACGAGAAGCUUGCUUCUCUGAUGUUAGCGGCGGACGGGUGAGUAACACGUGGAUAACCUACCUAUAAGACUGGGAUAACUUCGGGAAACCGGAGCUAAUACCGGAUAAUAUUUUGAACCGCAUGGUUCAAAAGUGAAAGACGGUCUUGCUGUCACUUAUAGAUGGAUCCGCGCUGCAUUAGCUAGUUGGUAAGGUAACGGCUUACCAAGGCAACGAUGCAUAGCCGACCUGAGAGGGUGAUCGGCCACACUGGAACUGAGACACGGUCCAGACUCCUACGGGAGGCAGCAGUAGGGAAUCUUCCGCAAUGGGCGAAAGCCUGACGGAGCAACGCCGCGUGAGUGAUGAAGGUCUUCGGAUCGUAAAACUCUGUUAUUAGGGAAGAACAUAUGUGUAAGUAACUGUGCACAUCUUGACGGUACCUAAUCCGAAAGCCACGGCUAACUACGUG
rnacentral:rRNA from 1 species